CUUUGUGUCAUAACAGUGAUUCUGUGAUAUAUAACAAAAUUUAAGCAGGUUCCCUUCUGGUCUGUUGUUAAAGCUUCCCAAAUAUGCUUUUCAAACCUCAUCUGAAGUUUAACCUGGUGCAUAUCUAUCAGUGAUAGAAAACAGAACUUUCACUUCUUAAAAACAGAACAAAAACCUCUUGGGGUCUACAGCAUAAAUGAAACCUAACUGUCUCAGCAGAGAUGAGGCCUGUGUUGUUAAUGAUUGUGCAAAUACCUAAUGAGAAAUCUUCCCAGACAUGGAGAGUUUGCAACUGAAACAAACCCCAAAUGUUUGGAGACUUACGCACAGAGGUGCAAUGUGUUUCCCUUCUAUGUGGUAACGGUCAAUGGAAGGUCUGGAUUUGCAAAUAUCUUAUUUUUUUUCAGUUGGGACUGUCUGCAAGCAAAGCUUCUCGAAUCAGAUAAUGUCUCAAACAUUGAUGUGAAAUACUGCACACUGCUUUAAGUCCCUGCUACCACAGAGUCUGCUUGGCCCCCCUGUAAGCUUCCAUUUUUCUGCACAAAUAGGCCCCAGUUGCUGCUCAGAGGAGGAAGAACCACUAACAAGGACAGAUGGCUCUUUUCACCUCAACUGCUGUCUUGAUAAUGUCUUUCUCUAAAAAUACUCUAAAAUUCAGAUUGCGUUUUAAGGGGGCCUAAUACAAGGAAGAGCAUCUUCUGUAGUGGAGAAGCAGCCAGAAGGCCUAAGAAGAUCCCUAGCGAACUGCAGCCUGCUGGAAAGCUUCUUGCAGCUCCAUCCUCGGGGGGGGGGGGGGGGGAAGGAUGUUUUGUGGCUAAAAAUGGGCAGGAGAUCAGAAGAUCUGCGUAUACUCUGCCUAACGCAAACUGAGCAGCUCUGUAACUUUGGUAGCAGUGCAGGCUUAUUAAAACCAAGCCCUUCAGUAACGCUUCCCUCAGCAGUGGCGCAUGAAGCCGGCGGCAGAAGGAGGCCGCUACGUGACGCCACCGCAGCGCGGGUGGUGAAGGCGGGGGAGCCGCUGCCGCGGCGCGACCUCCGUGAGCCCCCUCUUCGCGGCCGAAGCGCCGCCGUUUCCACCGCAGCUCUCGCAUGACGCCGGGCCCCCUCUCCAGGGCAGCGUUAGGGCCGCCCGGGGCCGGCGCCGCCUG
rnacentral:lncRNA from 1 species